AUACGUAUGUCGCAAGCGUUAUCCGGAAUUAUUGGGCGUAAAGCGAUUCUAGGCGGCUUGUUAAGUCAGAUGUGAAAAUGCGGGGCUCAACUCCGUAUUGCGUUUGAAACUGGCAGGCUAGAGUACUGGAGAGGUGGGCGGAACUACAAGUGUAGAGGUGAAAUUCGUAGAUAUUUGUAGGAAUGCCGAUAGUGAAGACAGCUCACUGGACAGAUACUGACGCUAAAGCUCGAAAGCGUGGGGAGCGAACAGGAUUAGAAACCCGGGUAGUCC
rnacentral:rRNA from 1 species